UUUCAUUUGUCUUUUAGGUUUGACGAUACUUCACCUUUCUCAUUCCUCAGACUCCAACCCACUUUGAUUCUGAAAGAUUUGACUGUUGUUUCCGGUCAGUCAGCUUGCCGAAGCAGUCAGAUUUCCGUCAUACUACUCAGAAUAAAAAUGGCAUCAGGAGAUGAGCUUCCAUCCCAUCUCGCUGUCGAUACCUCCAACGUUCAAAUUCUUAACUCUGAGACCUCAAAAAGACUCGUCGAAAAUUUUGUAAUCGCUCUCAUGAACAAGGAGCGUUUCUACAUCCGCACAUUCUUUUCGACAUACAAAGCAUAUACCACUGCUGAAAGUGUGUUGUACAUCCUCCUGGACAAGUGAGCAUAAAUCUUAUGAGCAUCUCCUUUGUUUAAUGGUAAUGAUAGAAAAGUAUGUUCUGUCGAGUAAUUUUUGUUAUUAAUCCUUCUGGCAAUGAAUCGCUGAAACUAGCCGGAUGGAAACAAACUCUCAGUAAACUGAGAAUCUCCAUCCAACCCUCAGUA